AGUGCAGCUGGCAUCUUCAUGUCCCCGCUCCGGCGUCAGCUCCUGUUGAGCCGGGGUCCCCCCCGUAUGCCACGUGCUGCACGGGACGUCAGGGGAGAGGACGACAGCCGCUCGGACCAGUGUGGAGAGCAGACUUGAGGGCUGCGCGGCACACAACUGGGCUCUGCCCCUGAUUCAGCUCCUUCCCAGCCUCUCGCUGAGCACAUAAACUGAUUCACUGAUAUUUCCAAGUGAAGUGUUUUCCUCCAAAGAGAAAAAGAGAGUCAGCAAGGCAAGAAAAGAGUGGGAGGGAAGACCGAGGCUGGCAGGUUAAGGGUUUGCCUAGCAUAAGGCCACCACGGGGCUAGCCAGUAGCCAAACAAGUUUGUGGACCCAGAUGACAACACUUUCUCCACGGCGACACUGUCAGCACCUGCAGCUGUGAAGCAGAUUGUCACGUCGUGGCUGGCCUGGAAUUUCAAUCCUGGAAGCUGCCUUCUGAACAGCUCUCACUGCAGUGUGCCCUGAUCAUGACUGACUUCUCCCAGAGUGCACGGACUGAGACUCGAAGAGAGAAAAGAGCAAAGGC
rnacentral:lncRNA from 1 species